rnacentral:rRNA from 1 species
UACGGAGGGUGCGAGCGUUGUCCGGAAUCACUGGGCGUAAAGGGCGCGUAGGCGGGAUGGCAAGUCGGUCGUGAAAUCCCUCGGCUCAACUGAGGAUCGUCGAUCGAUACUGCCGUUCUUGAGGAUUGCAGAGGAGACUGGAAUUCCCGGUGUAGCGGUGAAAUGUGUAGAGAUCGGGAGGAACACCGGUGGCGAAGGCGGGUCUCUGGGCAAUUCCUGACGCUGAGGCGCGAAAGCGUGGGGAGCAAACGGG